GAUGAACGCUGGCUACAGGCUUAACACAUGCAAGUCGAGGGGAAACGACGGGGAAGCUUGCUUCCCCGGGCGUCGACCGGCGCACGGGUGAGUAACGCGUAUCCAACCUGCCUCUGACUGAGGGAUAACCCGUCGAAAGUCGGCCUAAUACCUCAUGGCAUCGUCUGCGGGCAUCCAACGACGAUUAAAGAUUUCAUCGGUCAGAGAUGGGGAUGCGUCUGAUUAGCUUGUUGGCGGGGUAACGGCCCACCAAGGCGACGAUCAGUAGGGGUUCUGAGAGGAAGGUCCACCACAUUGGAACUGAGACACGGUCCAAACUCCUACGGGAGGCAGCAGUGAGGAAUAUUGGUCAAUGGGCGAGAGCCUGAACCAGCCAAGUAGCGUGCAGGAUGACGGCCCUAUGGGUUGUAAACUGCUUUUAUGCGGGGAUAAAGUGAGGGACGUGUCCUUCAUUGCAGGUACCGCAUGAAUAAGGACCGGCUAAUUCCGUG
rnacentral:rRNA from 1 species